AGAUGCCUGCGGAAUGCGUGAUAUGGAUUGCAUAAAAGCCAUACUCUAAGUAGGGAGUCGAGCCAUGGGUGGCAUGCGUGCCGGCUUCGUUCCGGAUACAUAAAGCCCACAAGGUAGAUUCCCACCUGCUAAACGGCUUUGUAAAAAGUCAAACAUACACGGUUCUCGUGGGCAAUUA
rnacentral:other from 1 species